rnacentral:rRNA from 1 species
AAAGGAAUUGACGGGGGCCCGCACAAGCAGCGGAGCAUGUGGUUUAAUUCGAAGCAACGCGAAGAACCUUACCAGGGCUUGACAUGGCCAUGACGUAUCUGGAGACAGGUAUUUCCUUCGGGACAUGGUCACAGGUGGUGCAUGGUUGUCGUCAGCUCGUGUCGUGAGAUGUUGGGUUAAGUCCCGCAACGAGCGCAACCCCUAUCGCUAGUUGCUAACGGGUAAAGCUGAGCACUCUAGGGAGACUGCCGGGGACAACUCGGAGGAAGGUGGGGAUGACGUCAAAUCAUCAUGCCCCUUAUGUCCUGGGCUACACACGUGCUACAAUGGCCGGAACAGAGGGUUGCGAAGGAGUAAUCCGGAGCCAAUCCCAAAAACCCGGUCCCAGUUCGGAUUGUGGGCUGCAACCCGCCCACAUGAAGUCGGAGUUGCUAGUAAUCGCGGAUCAGCCAUGCCGCGGUGAAUGCGUUCCCGGGCCUUGUACACACCGCCCGU